rnacentral:ncRNA from 1 species
AAAAAGUUUUAUUCUUACUUAAAGAGAUUAACUUCAAAUUGACUUUACAUGUAAGUUUUAGCGGGAAGGAAUUGAGUAUAGUUAGUCUAAAAUGACUGCUAUAAUAAAAAUUAUUCGCAGUAUUUGGUUUUAUAAAUUAGAGUGAUCUAGAUUUAGUAAAUUUGUUAGUAUCGGCAAAAGUCGUGCCAGCAGCCGCGGUUAUACGAAGGAUGCAAGUUAAUAAUUAUUGGUUAGUAGUUAAAUAUUGAUAUAAUAAAGAAGUUAUUAAUGAAUUUUUGUUAAGUGAAAUUUUAAAUUGAAAAUAUGCUUCUGUAAUUGAAUGUUAUUGAAGCUGUAAAAUUUAAAGUUUAGACUAGGAUUAGAUACCCUAUUAUUUUAAGUGUAAAAUUAAUAAAUCAGAGUAGUAAUAGUUAUGAUCUUGAAACUCAAAGAAUUUGGCGGUGCCUUAGUCCUUUCAGAGGAACCUGUCCCAUAAUCGAUAUUCCACGUUAUAUCUUACUUGAUUUUGUUGAUCAGUUUGUAUACCGCCGUCGUCAGAAUGUCCUUUUAGGGAAUAAAUUUUCUUAAGUUUUAAAUGAAUGUGAUGUCAGGUCAAGGUGCAGCGAAUGAUUAAGUGGAGAUGGGUUACAUUAAGUGAAUUUAUAAUGGAUAAUGACUUGAAAUAUAAAGUUGUUGGAAGGUGGAUUUGAUUGUAAUGUUUAGUAUUAAAUUAAGUUGAUUCUUGGCUCUAAGGCAUGCACACAUCGCCCGUCGCUCUCGUUAUUUAAGGCGAGAUAAGUCGUAACAUAGUAGAUGCACCGGAAGGUGUAUCUGGAAAGUUUA